GGGCCCGCACAAGCAGUGGAUUAUGUGGUUUAAUUCGAAGCAACGCGAAGAACCUUACCAGGGCUUGACAUCCAACUAACGAAGCAGAGAUGCAUUAGGUGCCCUUCGGGGAAAGUUGAGACAGGUGGUGCAUGGUUGUCGUCAGCUCGUGUCGUGAGAUGUUGGGUUAAGUCCCGCAACGAGCGCAACCCCUAUUGUUAGUUGCUACGCAAGAGCACUCUAGCGAGACUGCCGUUGACAAAACGGAGGAAGGUGGGGACGACGUCAAAUCAUCAUGCCCCUUAUGUCCUGGGCUACACACGUAAUACAAUGGCGCUUUAACAGAGGGAAGCAAGACCGCGAGGUGGAGCAAAUCCCUAAAAGGCGUCUCAGUUCGGAUUGCAGGCUGCAACUCGCCUGCAUGAAGUCGGAAUUGCUAGUAAUCGCGGAUCAGAAUGCCGCGGUCGAAUACGUUCCCGGGCCUUGUACACACCGCCCGUCACACCAUGAGAGCUGGGAACACCCGAAGUCCGUAGUCUAACCGCAAGGAGGACGCGGCCGAAGGUGGGCUUGGUAAUUGGGGUGAAGUCGUAACAAGGUAGCCGUAUCGGAAGGUGCGGCU
rnacentral:rRNA from 1 species